GCGAAAAAAAAUAGAAUAAAAACUGUAUGUAAGUGACCACUAAAGAUGCAAUUUCAAACAAACCGAGAACCGUAAAUACAUCUCGAUAAAUGUUUACAACACAGUAUGAAAUAUACAGAGAUAGCUUCAACCAACUUCUCCAAGAAGCUAGACCUUACCUUUGUUUGAAAAUUCAUCUGUGGCUAUAGUUGAAACUUGUAUUAAAGAUGAAGCUAGUGGUGAGGUGAAUCAACAUGAGAAUCUCCAUUCGACAAAUAUAAUUACCCAAGUUGUCGCAUCCUUGAGGAAACUAUAGAAGCAAGGUUUGCCUAUAAACAGUGCAUUUUUUGGUGUCAUUGAUGAAGGGGUGUUUUUUAUUUCACAUCAACUGCAUCACAACUAUGACAGGUGACAACUUCUGUUUUGAUAGGUGAAAUUAUAACCUGCCUUAUUUUUUAAACAAUAUUCUACCAAUUCACACUUUUCCACAAUUAUGGAACACUUAAUUUAUACAUUGCUGGUUUUUUGCCUUAAUUAAGUUAUAAAAUGGAACAUUAUGUCCAUAAUAUCAUUUUUAAAGAACAGACCAUGACUAAUGUCUGUCAAAGGAAAAAAUAUGAAUCAAACAGAGCAAGUUGUAGUUAAUAGAGAGGAAGGGGUUAUUUUAAAUAUAUGAACAUGUCUGUUGUGCGUUUUCAA